rnacentral:rRNA from 1 species
UACGUAGGGGGCUAGCGUUGUCCGGAAUCAUUGGGCGUAAAGCGCGUGUAGGCGGUUCGGUAAGUCCGCUGUGAAAGUCGGGGGCUCAACCCUCGAAUGCCGGUGGAUACUGUCGGACUAGAGUACGGAAGAGGCGGAGUGGAAUUCCUGGUGUAGCGGUGAAAUGCGCAGAUAUCAGGAGGAACACCAAUUGCGAAGGCAGCUCGCUGGGACGUUACUGACGCUGAGACGCGAAAGCGUGGGGAGCAAACAGG